rnacentral:rRNA from 1 species
UACGAGGGGUGCUAGCGUUGUUCGGAAUCACUGGGCGUAAAGCGUACGUAGGCGGACUGACAAGUCAGGGGUGAAAUCCCAGAGCUCAACUCUGGAACUGCCUUUGAAACUGUCAGUCUGGAGGCCGAGAGAGGAUAGUGGAAUUCCUAGUGUAGAGGUGAAAUUCGUAGAUAUUAGGAGGAACACCAGUGGCGAAGGCGACUGUCUGGCUCGGUUCUGACGCUCAAGUACGAAAGCGAGGGGAGCAAAC